rnacentral:tRNA from 1 species
GAGGAUGUAGCUCAGUGGUGGAGCACUUGUCUAGCAUCCAAGAGACCCUGGGUUCAAUCCCAGUACCCCUU